ACUAGCAACUCCGACUUCAUGCAGUCGAGUUUCAGACUGCAAUCUGAACUGAGGCCAGCUUUUUAGGAUUGGCUCCGCCUCGCGGCUUGGCAACCCAUUGUACUGACCAUUGUAGCGUGUGUGUAGCCCUGGAUAUAAAGGUCAUGCUGACUUGACGUCAUCCCCACCUUCCUCCGGCUUAAUACCAGCAGUCCUGUGUGACACAUAUAACACACAGCGAGGGUUGCGCUCGUUAGCGGACUUAACCGAACAUCUCACGACACGAGCUGACGACAGCCAUGCAACACCUGUAAUGGCUCCCCGAAGGGUCGGUCACCUUUCGGAUCCCUACCACCAUUAUGUCAAACCCAGGUAAGGUUCUUCGUGUAGCAACGAAUUAAACCACACGCUCCGCUGCUUGUGCGGGGCCCCGUCAAUUCCUUUGAGUUUUAACCUUGCGGCCGUAGUCCCCAGGCGGUAGACUUAUCGCGUUAGCUACGACACCGAUGGAUAUUAAACCACCGACGUCAAGUCUACAUCGUUUACGGCUAGGACUACCGGGGUCUCUAAUCCCGUUUGCUACCCUAGCUUUCGCGUCUGAGUGUCAGGGUUGGUCCA
rnacentral:rRNA from 1 species